rnacentral:lncRNA from 1 species
ACAACCUUUUUGUUCCACAUCAGGGAAUUCACAGGGUAUCCAUUAGAAACCAUAUCACAUUUACAAGGCUCCACGGACUUCCUUAAGCCUUGAUGCUCCAACGGGUUAUACAGGCUAAGAGGUGGGGAUGAGUGCAGAUCCGAAGUGGGUGGGUGAGGAUCUCCCAGCCUCUCAGCCCUGGCACGGGGACUUGCUUUUCUCCAGGCUAUCUGGUUCUCUCUGUUUAUUCUCUGCCUGCUUUCCUUGUGUCUCUCGUUGUUUCUCUCUAAAUCUCCAUCUUUCCCUCUCUGUCCCUCUCCCCCUCCCUCCUUUCCUCUCUGUCUUUGUAACUCUCCCUCAAUUUUACUCAUUUUAGUGGUUCACUCUUUGGAUCUAGGACCUUGGUCAGCAUGAGCAUUGCACUCACAGAGAGGGUGACACGUUUCCUGAUGCCUGAAAGAGAGAAAUAAGAUGGCCCAGGAGACUCCAGGGCACUCUGCCCACUAAGCAUCUUUUUGGUCCUCCCCCUGCCAGAUUGAAAGAUGACAGACUGAGGACAAGCCCUAAGGGGACAGAGAGUCUAAGGCUCCAUGUUCCAACUCUGCAAGCCCCACCUCAGCUCAACUCAACACCUUAGACCUUCAGCUCACAGUUCUCUACAGGACACUUGUGAAAACUUGGAAAAUAUUAAUUGCUUAACAGUCCGCUUGCAAGUUGAACAGGCAGAUAAGGAGGAAAAGCCUUUCUUCUUUGACAAGCUUUCCAUGAAACAUAACCCCAGAACACGAGUGCCCAGAUGUAUACAUUCCAGGCAUGAAAAUGAAGGAUAAUUCUCCAAAAAGACUGACUGGCCCUUGGGACAAGAUCCACAGAGACUUCAUCUGAAACGUUCUUCAUCAAUCAAGUAAGCCCACUCAUCUAUUGAUAAUGCUUACUGAGGGGCAAGCCACCCCAUGCACAUAAAGUCUCCUCUUAGCUUUUUAGUGUACCACUUCUUAAUCAUAAAUAAACAUUUAAGGAUCACCAGACAUUUGUAGAAGACCUCAACUAUGAAAAAAGAGAACUUAACAAAUAAACUUUUUUUGGAAGGCUGAGAAGACAUAGAGACAAUAGAGGGAGCAGAAAAAUAAAUAACAAAAACAAACAACCCUAUAGAUAUUAUUGUCAUCUGAAAGUUUUGAGAAAGUAUUGCAUUCAUGAAACAAGAAUAAGAUGCAAUUAAAAAGUAUAAUCGGAGUGAAAAAAUGAAUUAGCCAAGAUAAAAAAUAUUCAAUAGAACACUUGGAAGAUAAGGUUGAGUAACUCUCCUUGAAAAGCCAAAGAAAAAGAUGAGAAUGAAGAGAAAGAAAAUUAGGGGACCAAGCCAAUGUAUCCAACAUCUGAAAUUCCAAGAAGGGAAAGUGGAGAGAAUUAUGGGGUGGAAAUAAUCUAAUAAGUGGUUUAAUUUCCCAGAACUGAAAGACAUGAGUUUCCAGAGAAGGCCCAGCAUCAUGUAUUUAAAACAACAACCAAAAAAACUACCUAAGCAAAUAUUAUGAAAUUUCAGAAUAUCAGAAAUAGGACAGAUUGUAAGUUGACAGAGAAGAAAACCUGUCACAAAGGAUAAGGAAUAAAAAUGGCAUCAUGCCUCUUACUAGCAACACUGAGGCCAGACAACAACAUAACAAUUGAUAUUCUGAGAAAAAAAGCAUGUUCAGUCUACAUCUAUACCAAGACACACUCUUAAUCAAGUAUGAGGGUAAAACAAUGAACUUUCAGAUAAACACAGACUAAGGUAAUAUGCCUCUUAUGCACCCUUUCUCAAGACUAACUGGAGUCAGUGUUUCCCUAAAAUGUUUAAUCAGCUAACAAGGUGCUAUGAUGUGGAUAUUUGACCCUCCAAAUAUCAUGUUGAAAAUUGAUCCCCAUUGGUAGAGGUAGGGCCUGGUGGGAGGUAUGGGUUGUGGAGGUGGAUCCCUCAUGAAUGGCUUGGUGCCAUUCUCGCAGGAAUGAGUGAGUUCUCACUCUUAGUUCUCAUGAAAAUUCGUUGUUGAAAAGAACCUGGCACCUACUCCCCAUUGCUCUUUCUUCCCUUCGCCAUGUGAUGCCUGCUGCCCUUCAUCUUCCACCAUGACUGGAAGCUUCCUGAGGUCCCCACCAGAAGCAGAUGCUGGCACCAUGCUUCUUGUACAGCCUGCAGAACUGUUAACCAAAUAAACCUCUUUUCUUUAUAAAUUACCCAG